UUCAAUCCCCUCCACUCCAUUCCGCCCCCACAUAAUUCAGCCCUUGAAUUUCCAUAUAUCUGUAUCUAUAUAGACCUGUGAGAAGCUUAGAAGUCAUACAUUUUAUAAAAUAACAUUAUUUCAAAAAUUAUAAUCCCAAAUAAUGAGGCCAAACGGGGUGUUAGUACCUCCACAAAGACCGGUCACCUCUAUCCCCCUCACGUCUGUGUAUAUAAAUAUACGUGCGUGUAUCCAUAUUUAUUACCUCUGCAUUUUUAUCUCCGAUACAGUUCAAUCCCCUCCACUCCAUUCCGCCCCCACAUAAUUCAACCCUUGAAUUUCCAUAUAUCUGUAUCUAUAUAGACCUGUGAGAAGCUUAGAAGGCAAACUGUAAUGGCGGAAACUCAGGGAAGGCUUAACAAGAAAACAGUUGAUCCCAAAAAUGGCUACUGCCCACAAACCAAGAUUUACCACAGCCUCCGCUCGUCGGUCCCUUUGCCGCCGC
rnacentral:lncRNA from 1 species